GAACUGAUCUGGGUGAUUUUUGGAUAUGUUGGUAACCCAGAACGGGGCUAUCAGGAUGUAACUUUUGUGGGGAUAUUAUGUGUUUUGGGGUACUUUUGGGACUUUUCAGAACUGUGUUUUUUUUCUGGAGAUAAUUGGGCUAAUGCAGUAUCUGUCUCAAUUAUCUCCCAGGCAGAGAGGAGGGAUUGUAUGCGAUGUGUGGGAGU